AAUGAACGUUGGCGGCAUGGAUUAGGCAUGCAAGUCGGGGGAAUCCCAGCAAUGGGGGAACCGGCGUAAGGGGCAGUAAGGCAUGGGUACCUACCUUGGGGUUCGGGAUAGCCAUCAGAGAUGGUGGGUAAUACCGGAUGACGUCGUGAGACCAAAGGUUUAUCGCCCUUAGAGGGGCCCAUGUGAUAUUAGCUAGUUGGUGGGGUAACGGCCCACCAAGGCGAAGAUGUCUAGCGGGUGUGAGAGCACGACCCGCGCCACUCGCACUGAGACACUGGCGAGACACCUACGGGUGGCUGCAGUCGAGGAUCUUCGGCAAUGAGCGCAAGCUUGACCGAGCGAUGCCGCGUGAGCGAUGAAGGCCUUCGGGUUGUAAAGCUCUUUAGUGGGGGAGAAAAGCCGCAAGGUGUGAUCUAUCCCAAAAAUAAGCACGGGCUAAGUUCGUGCCAGCAGCCGCAGUAA
rnacentral:rRNA from 1 species